UGAGAGGAGGUGCAUGGCCGUCGUCAGUUCGUACUGUGAAGCAUCCUGUUAAGUCAGGCAACGAGCGAGACCCACGCCAACAGUUGCCAGCAUGUCCUCCGGGAUGAUGGGGACACUGUUGGGACCGCCUCUGCUAAAGAGGAGGAAGGAAUGGGCAACGGUAGGUCAGCAUGCCCCGAAUUAUCCGGGCUACACGCGGGCUACAAUGGUCAGGACAAUGGGUAUCGACACCGAGAGGUGGAGGCAAUCUCCUAAAACCUGUCCUUAGUUCGGAUUGUGGGCUGCAACUCGCCCACAUGAAGCUGGAAUCCGUAGUAAUCGCGUUUCAAAAUAGCGCGGUGAAUAUGUCCCUGCUCCUU
rnacentral:rRNA from 1 species